rnacentral:rRNA from 1 species
AGCGAACGCUGGCGGCAGGCUUAACACAUGCAAGUCGAGCGCCCCGCCAGGGGCGCGGCAGACGGGAGAGUAACACGUGGGAACAUACCUUUUGGUUCGGAACAACUGAGGGAAACUUCAGCUAAUACCGGAUAAGCCCUUACGGGGAAAGAUUUAUCGCCGAACGAUUGGCCCGCGUCUGAUUAGCUAGUUGGUGAGGUAACGGCUCACCAAGGCGACGAUCAGUAGCUGGUCUGAGAGGAUGAUCAGCCUCACUGGGACUGAGACACGGCCCAGACUCCUACGGGAGGCAGCAGUGGGGAAUAUUGGACAAUGGGGGCAACCCUGAUCCAGCCAUGCCGCGUGAGUGAUGAAGGCCUUAGGGUUGUAAAGCUCUUUUGCCCGGGAAGAUAAUGACGGUACCGGGAGAAUAAGCCCCGGCUAACUUCGUG